AAAGCUCAAAUUUAAAAUCUGGCGGUCCUCUGGCCGUCCGAGUUGUAAUCUGGAGAAGCGUUUUCCGCAUUGGACCGUGUACAAGUCUUCUGGAACGGAGCGUCAUAGAGGGUGAGAAUCCCGUCUCUGACACGGACUACCAAUGCUUUUGUGAUACGCUCUCGAAGAGUCGAGUUGUUUGGGAAUGCAGCUCAAAAUGGGUGGUAAAUUCCAUCUAAAGCUAAAUAUUGGCGAGAGACCGAUA
rnacentral:rRNA from 1 species